rnacentral:rRNA from 1 species
UCCGUAGGUGAACCUGCGGAAGGAUCAUUACCUAGAGUUGUAGGCUUUGCCUGCUAUCUCUUACCCAUGUCUUUUGAGUACCUUACGUUUCCUCGGCGGGUCCGCCCGCCGGUUGGACAAUUUAAACCAUUUGCAGUUGCAAUCAGCGUCUGAAAAAACUUAAUAGUUACAACUUUCAACAACGGAUCUCUUGGUUCUGGCAUCGAUGAAGAACGCAGCGAAAUGCGAUAAGUAGUGUGAAUUGCAGAAUUCAGUGAAUCAUCGAAUCUUUGAACGCACAUUGCGCCCCUUGGUAUUCCAUGGGGCAUGCCUGUUCGAGCGUCAUUUGUACCUUCAAGCUCUGCUUGGUGUUGGGUGUUUGUCUCGCCUCUGCGUGUAGACUCGCCUCAAAACAAUUGGCAGCCGGCGUAUUGAUUUCGGAGCGCAGUACAUCUCGCGCUUUGCACUCAUAACGACGACGUCCAAAAGUACAUUUUUACACUCUGACCUCG